GUCCACGCUGUAAACGAUGAGUGCUAGACAUUGGAAAGUAUCGACCCUUUUCAGUGCCGCAGCUAACGCAUUAAGCACUCCGCCUGGGAAGUACGGCCGCAAGGCUAAAACUCAAAGGAAUUGACGGGGACCCGCACAAGCGGUGGAGCAUGUGGUUCAAUUCGACGAUAAGCGAGGAACCUUACCAAGACUUGACAUACAGCUGCAAGCCCUAGAAAUAGGGCCGCCUUCGAGGGUGCUGUACAGGUGCUGCACGGUUGUCGU
rnacentral:rRNA from 1 species